UCAAGUUAUUAAGGGUGCAGGGCGGAUGCCUUGGCACUAGGAGCCGAUGAAGGACGUGAUAAGCUGCGAUAAGCUUCGGGGAGUUGCACGUAAACUUUGAUCCGAAGAUUUCCGAAUGAGGAAACUCACUUAGAGUAAUGUCUAAGUAUCAUUAAGUGAAUACAUAGCUUAAUGAGGGGAACUCAGGGAACUGAAACAUCUAAGUACCUGAAGGAAGAGAAAGAAAUUCGAUUCCGUAAGUAGCGGCGAGCGAACGCGGAUUAGCCCAAACCAAUAAAGUUUUCUUUAUUGGGGUUGCGGACAUAUCAUAACGAAGAGGUAUCGUAAUUGAAGAGGUUUGGAAAGACCCACCACAGAAGGUAAUAGUCCUGUAUGUUAAACGAGAAGACUUCAGAUAUGAUCCAGAGUACCACGGGACACGUGAAACCCUGUGGGAAGCAGGAGGGACCACCCUCCAAGGCUAAAUACUACCUAGUGACCGAUAGCGUAUAGUACCGUGAGGGAAAGGUGAAAAGAACCCCGGGAGGGGAGUGAAAUAGAACCUGAAACCCUGCACUUACAAGCUGUGGAAGCACAUUUCUUGUGUGACCGCGUACUUUUUGUAGAACGGGCCAACGAGUUACGUUAAGUAGCAAGGUUAAGCACUUAAGGUGCGGAGCCGUAGCGAAAGCGAGUUUUAACUGAGCGUUCAGUUACUUGACGUAGACCCGAAACCGGGCGACCUACCCAUGAGCAGGAUGAAGCGAAAGUAAAAUUUCGUGGAGGUCCGAACCCACGAGCGUUGAAAAGCUCGGGGAUGACUUGUGGGUAGCGGUGAAAUUCCAAUCGAGCCCGGAGAUAGCUGGUUCUCCCCGAAAUAGCUUUAGGGCUAGCCUCAAGGUGAGAGAUACGGAGGUAGAGCACUGAAUGUCCUAGGGGGUAUUGCACCUACCGAAGACUAUCAAACUCCGAAUGCCGUCAUCUUAUACUUGGGAGUCAGACUGUGGGUGAUAAGAUUCAUAGUCGAAAGGGCAACAGCCCAGAUCGUCAGCUAAGGUCCCUAAAUGUAAGUUAAGUGGUAAAGGAUGUGGGAUUGCACAGACAACCAGGAUGUUGGCUUAGAAGCAGCCACUCAUUCAAAGAGUGCGUAAUAGCUCACUGGUCGAGUGAUCCUGCGCCGAAGAUUUCCGGGGCUAAAACUUACUACCGAAGCUACGGCAUCAGUAAUGAUGGGUAGGGGAGCUUCCCAUACGGGUUGAAGCAUGACCGUAAGGACAUGUGGACAGUAUGGGAGUGAGAAUGUUGGCAUGAGUAGCGAGAUGUGGGUGAGAAUCCCACAGGCCGUAAACCCAAGGUUUCCAGGGGAAGGUUCGUCCGCCCUGGGUUAGUCGGGACCUAAGCUGAGGCCGAAAGGCGUAGGUGAUGGAUAACAGGUUGAUAUUCCUGUACUACCGAUAACCGUUUGAGAGAAGGGAUGACACAGUAGGAUAAGCUAAGCACACUGUUGGUUAUGUGUGCCCAAGCAUUGAGGCAGUCAAAGCAGGCAAAUCCGCUUUGAUAAUGCUGGGAUGUGAUGGGGAGCGAAAUUUAGUAGCGAAGUAGCUGAUUUCACACUGUCAAGAAAAGUCUCUAUCGAGGUUAAAGGUACCCGUACCGCAAACCGACACAGGUGGGUGAGGAGAGUAUCCUAAGGCCAGCGAGAGAACUGUUGUUAAGGAACUCGGCAAAAUGACCCCGUAACUUAGGGAUAAGGGGUGCCACCAUCAGGUGGCCGCAGAGAAUAGGCCCAAGCGACUGUUUACCAAAAACAUAGGUUUCUGCUAAGUCGCAAGACGAUGUAUAGGAGCUGACGCCUGCCCGGUGCUGGAAGGUUAAGGGGAUCUGUUAGAGCAAUCGAAGCAGUGAACUUAAGCCCCAGUAAACGGCGGCCGUAACUAUAACGGUCCUAAGGUAGCGAAAUUCCUUGUCGGGUAAGUUCCGACCCGCACGAAAGGCGUAACGAUUUGGGCACUGUCUCAACAACAGACUCGGUGAAAUUGUAAUUCCGGUGAAGAUGCCGGAUACCUGCGACAGGACGGAAAGACCCCAUGGAGCUUUACUGUAGCUUGACAUUGGGUCUUGGUACUACAUGUACAGGAUAGGUGGGAGGCUUUGAAACCAGGACGCCAGUUUUGGCGGAGCCAUCCUUGGGAUACCACCCUUGUAGUACUGGGACUCUAACCAUAGGCCAUGAAUCUGGUCUUGGGACACUGUCAGGUGGGCAGUUUGACUGGGGCGGUCGCCUCCCAAAAGGUAACGGAGGCGCUCAAAGGUUCUCUCAGUACGGUCGGAAAUCGUACGUAGAGUGUAAAGGCAAAAGAGAGCUUGAUUGCAAGACAUACAGGUCGAGCAAGGAUGAAAAUCGGACUUAGUGAUCCGGUGGUUCUGCGUGGAAGGGCCAUCGCUCAACGGAUAAAAGCUACCCUGGGGAUAACAGGCUUAUCUCCCCCAAGAGUCCACAUCGACGGGGAGGUUUGGCACCUCGAUGUCGGCUCAUCACAUCCUGGGGCUGUAGUAGGUCCCAAGGGUUGGGCUGUUCGCCCAUUAAAGUGGUACGCGAGCUGGGUUCAGAACGUCGUGAGACAGUUCGGUCCCUAUCCGUCGCAGGCGUAGGAAAUUUGAGAAGACCUGUCCUUAGUACGAGAGGACCGGGAUGGACGUACCUCUGGUGUACCAGUUGUCCUGCCAAGGGCAUGGCUGGGUAGCUAUGUACGGAAUGGAUAAGCGCUGAAAGCAUCUAAGCGCGAAGCCAACUUCAAGAUAAGAUUUCCCACCGCAAGGGUAAGACCCCAGAAAGACUAUCUGGUUGAUAGGUCGAAGGUGUAAGUGCAGCAAUGUAUUUAGCUUAUCGAUACUAAUAGGUCGAGGACUUGACCAA
rnacentral:rRNA from 1 species